rnacentral:lncRNA from 1 species
AAAAGAAUGUCACAUCUUUAAUAUAUAAUGGAGUUCUGUACAAAAUAAUUAAUUAAUUACAUCAUACGAAGACAACGAUCCAACAACCACAAUUGACUAGGAGACGACGGCCCAGAUCUCUCACGAACUCGUUGUGACAUCCUUCAUGCUUUUAUAUUGUGGUACCUGUCCUUGACCUGGAGGGUGUGAGUAUAGCAAGGGUGAGGUCACAUAAGUUCAUCGCUCAACAAGUUGUGGGGAAUAAUGUGCAUGAGCUCACUUGUAGUGGGGCUCAUGUGAAGUGUAAGGCUUACCAAAGCAGAUGGUUAAAGUUGAGCAUUGCUUUUAGAGUUGGUCAAAAUUUUAUUAGCAGUUGCUAAGUGUAAGUAGAUACCAACUCAAUUAAAUAAGAGAUCACAAUUAAUAAUAAAUCCCACAAUGCAAUGCAAAUGACAAAUUAAGUUUAGUUUCAUAAGUUAAUCAUGUGAGAGUCCGAGCUACUCAUGACCGUGAGCAUCGCUGAUAUACUAGUUUUACACACUGCAGAGGUUGCAUAUCUUUACCCACAAGUCGUGUUACCCAUUUGCCAAGGGAUCGUGACUUACCAUUCAUCUCUGCUGAGCAGACGAGGCAGGGUAGCACUACGAGGCCUUUACAAAGUUCCACUAGCUUCAGAAAACCCGCUAUGGUUUCUAAGAAGGGCAAGAUAGGAAUCCCUCGUCUGAAAAGCCAUCGCAGCAUGAUUGGCCCGAGAACCUCCCUAUACCGCAACUUCUCUACCGCCCUUGUCUCUUUCGGGUAAGGUAGUCAUACACUAGCUUUCCUAAUUAGUUACCCAAGGGCGUCCCAUACCACCCUUGUGGUAGCACUGUUUUCCUGGGUGGUCGCUCCAUGUUCCAAUUAACAUAAUGAUCUUGUCAUGAACAAUAAUAAACCAACAAUAAUAGUGAAACAUGAUCGUAAUUAAAUAUAACAUUAAUCCCAAAACCAAGUAGAGCAAUAGCAAUACUACCCAAUAGUUCAUUUGUUUCAAGGUGUAGGAUAAACAAUGCUAGGGAAAACUAUUAUGCCCCAUCAAAUUAACCUGAGCAUGUCACAAUGGUUAAUAGAGAACAUUAUUGGGUAAAGAAGAGUGAUGAAGGGCACAACUUGCCUUAUACUUGCGACAACCUGUUGUCCAUAUGCUGACCCAAAAGUUAGGCAUUGGGUUCUCGUCACCUCGCCUCUACUCGUAGCAAUACACACAAUUAAGAAAAUAAUGGAUAUGGUAACAUUUUACCAAAGCAUAUGAACAAACAACGUAAGAAUAUCCUACGCGUCUCUACGAGAUCGUAGGUUCAAGAACCAUUAAAAUCGAAGUUAAAACGAAGAAGUUAUGGAUAAAACAAUAUUUUUAGACGCAAUAAAUCUUCUAGAUGAGAUCAAACAGAUGUUGCAUUUAAACUAAAAAGGUAUUUAAUUAAAAUAUUUGAGUUGGUAUUAAUCAUUAACAAUUAUUUAUAAAAUGCGUAGGUUAGAACUAUAAAUUAGAUUAACUAGAUUAUCUAGCUAAUUAACAUUAAUUAAUUAAUUGAUAAAUUAAAACAAUGUUACUACUGCGUACGCAAAAAUUAAUAUGAACAUAACAUAACUUGAGCAGAUUAAAACAAAUUAUUUAACCUAGAAGUUAUCAUAUUUUUAAUAAAUUAGUAUGGCUGCACAGAUAUAGGUUACAUGACGGUGGGAAAAGUUUGUUUAUAAAUACAUGACCUAGUUAUUGUCAACUUAUUAUGAUUGUACUUACUGGUAAAUUUAUGUUGCAUGACAGUCUUGCAUGUAAAAGGGCAUAUGGUGGUGGUUAUCUAUUAGCUGGGAAGCGUCAAGCCUAUCAUGUAGGAAAGACCUCUAAACUAUCAACAAAUUACCUACCAACCAAGCCAUUCGAUCUCACACUGCUGGACAUCUUUAGCACCUAGCCACUAACCUCCCUUCCACAUCAUAGCCUCAAAACGACAGCGCCGGUGGAGAGCGCCUACGACGGCCUUCGAACUCUCCCAUUCUCUGCUCGCAGCGCCUCUAUCUCCUUUCGCUGCUCUCGGGUAUCACCGGCGUGAUGCUUAAGCGAGAUGGUUAAGGAGACGACGGCUUUGUAUUUAUAUCCACCGGCAGGCCCAAGCUAGGCGUGAUUCCGUUUGAUGCCUAGUUGGCCAUAUGCCGGACUCUGUGGUUCCGUUUGCGGGGAACACGACGAGUUCGUCUAGCUCUGGGGAAAUAGGAACAACUAGAUGAGGUAGAGGUGGCUGACAGCGCGGGCCGAUCCUACAACAACUCAAUCAGGAUGCGUGAAUAAAUUUGUGCCGAUGUCAUGCCUAAGUAAUGUGGAUGCAAGCAUGUCGAGUGGCCGGAAAACAAAAGAUGGGAUGGUCGUGUCGUGUGGAUGUGGAUGUAGACAUGGAAGAUGGGAUGCUCGUCCUGCUUGGUUAGUCACUCUUUUUCUAUCUAUUUUUU